GAUGAACGCUGGCGGCGUGCCUAAUACAUGCAAGUCGAGCGAACAGACGAGGAGCUUGCUCCUCUGACGUUAGCGGCGGACGGGUGAGUAACACGUGGAUAACCUACCUAUAAGACUGGGAUAACUUCGGGAAACCGGAGCUAAUACCGGAUAAUAUAUUGAACAGCAUGGUUCAAUAGUGAAAGACGGUUUUGCUGUCACAUAUAGAUGGAUCCGCGUCGCAUUAGCUAGUUGGGAAGGUAACGGCUCACCAAGGCAACGAUGCGUAGCCGACAUGAGAGUGUGACCGGCCACACUGGAUCUGACCUACGGUCGAGACUCUUACGGCAGGCUGCCGUAGGGUAUCUUCCUCAAGUGGCGAAUGCGUGACGGAGCAACCCCGCGCGGGUUAUGAAGGUCUUCUGAUCGUAGAACUCUUUUAUUAGGUAAGAUCGAAUGUGUAAGUAACCUCACACGUCAUCACGGUACCUAAUCAGAAUGCCACGUCUAACUACCUG
rnacentral:rRNA from 1 species